rnacentral:rRNA from 1 species
CACGUAGGGUGCGAGCGUUGUCCGGAAUUAUUGGGCGUAAAGAGCUCGUAGGCGGUGUGUCGCGUCGGCCGUGAAAACCUGCAGCUUAACUGUGGGCUUGCGGUCGAUACGGGCAUCACUGGAGUUCGGCAGGGGAGACUGGAAUUCCUGGUGUAGCGGUGAAAUGCGCAGAUAUCAGGAGGAACACCGGUGGCGAAGGCGGGUCUCUGGGCCGAUACUGACGCUGAGGAGCGAAAGCCAGGGGAGCAAAAGGG